GCCAAGGUGGCGAAACUGGUAAACGCACGGGACUCAAAAUCCCGCGGGCUUUACGCUCUUGAGGGUUCGACUCCCUCCCUUGGCA
rnacentral:tRNA from 1 species